ACCUGGAAAUGGGAUCAUUGGCAUUGUCGUAUCAAGAGAGAACAAAAGAAGAUAAGGCUUUAGCUUUAUAUUGUUGUCUCAACUCCCCGCAAAUCAGAGUCAGCUAUUUACAUACCUUUGCUCUCAAAGUUUCAAGAUGCAGGAUCCAUUUGCUCAUUCAUAUCAUUUUCUCCUUCAGCAUCAUCAUCUUCAUCAGUCUGCUCUCUUGAUGAUGAUAUAUUUGCUGAGCUGACCAGAAUUCCAGCCUUUUUUGGCACAGAAGGUGAGAAAGAAAUUCCUAAAGGUUCAUUAAUAUCAUUAUCUUGUGACCAUAAUUCAUUCUAAACUCCUGAACUAAAUAGAACAUUUUCUGGCAACUAUUAUUUGAGAAAGGUUCUUAAAAUUGUUGAACUAACAUUUGAUGUUAAAUUUCGAGGUAAUAACUUAGUGAAGAUGUUCAAAAAAGUAGAUUUUAGUGUUUUUAAAGUAGAUAUUAUAUUCAACUUCUAAUAUGUUUGGAAUUCUUCCUUUCAUGUUCUCAUCAUUUUAAAAGUUCUUAUUCUUAUUCC